GUACGGGCGUGCGCGUGAAGGGCAAGUCGUCCCAAAAGAUGGACACUGGGAAUAAGGGCAAGUGAACACCACAAAUCAGCAGAGCCAAGUAUAACCUACAUUGCAGCACUGUAGCUGAGAAGAAUACCUUUUCUCAAUCUGUUUCUCUAUGACAGCUGUGCAGCUCUCCCUUCUUUCCCUUGCUGGGGACUGGACUAUCUGAGAAAGAAUGAUUUAAAGGUCAAAUCUUGACUGUGGAUUCAAAGACAGAGCUUUCCUGGAGUAGGAUUGCAGAAAUCAACUGGGAGCAAGAGCAGUAUCACUCAUGGAAGCCUUCACUAACUGGAACCAUUUUUCUCGAUGUCAGAAUGAAGUACGCAUGACAGGUGCAAAUUUCCUCAUGCUGAUCAGUCCAGAUGACACCCUUUAGUGGUGCAAAGAUAAUCCAGCUGCUUCUGUUUCAGCACUGAGCACUCUGCUUUUCAAGAGGCACUUCCAACAGAAGCUGACUUCACAUGUUACUUUCAAAUAACUGUGUAAAUCAUAACGAUUGUAAAAUUCCAGUUUGCAAUAGGAAGCAUGUGUAAUAGAGCCCAAGGUUGGGAACACCUCCAGUGCUCACCAUGGCCUGGCUUGAUGAGGGAAUUUUUUAUGUACAUCCCUAUCUUUUAAUGUGCCUGAACUUGAGUGGAAAUCACAUGAAAUAUUUUCAUACAGAGCUGAUAUCCACUGGGCAAGGUGGAACACAAGGAUAUGGGGUGAAUAGAAGACUCCAUUGAAGUGGCCAUGUAAUGAGACAAGAAUAAUGCUCACAAAAUGUGCAACGACACAUGCAUUACCAGAUUUUGAUCUUUGAAUCAUCAGAAAUUUACCACCUGGCAUAAAACUCCUCUACAGCUUUCAGUCUUUGCAUACUUGAAAUCCUUAUACAAUUGCAUAAAUCUUCAUAUCACUAGCAAUUACAUUUUUAGUGUGAAUUUAUAGAAUAUAAUGUUCCGUCAGUGAAUACCAGCAAAUAAAUCGUGCCUUACUGGGCAUUGUGAUGCCCUACCUAAUUUGGGAUCUUAUUCCCAUGUAAACUUACUUGAAAAUUUAAUUGCAAAAUGUAUAUCGCUAUGAAAAAGUUAUUUAGA